UUUGACUUCCAUCAUGGCCCGGAUCCUUGUUCUCUUCAGCUUUCUCACUUACUACUCAGGUGUCCUUUCACAGCCAACGUUGACUCAGUCUGCCUCACAAUCGACGUCCUUGGGGCAAAACGUUAAAUUCUCCUGCUUGAAAAGUAGCGGUGGAAACUGGGGCUACUUUCUCUGGUAUCAACAGAAACCUGGACAGGCUCCUCGCUUUGUGUGGUAUGGCGGCUCCAGCACCAGGGGAGACGGAAUUCCAGACCGGUUCACUGGUUCUACCUCUGGGAACACCGGCUAUUUAACCAUCUCCAACACCCAGGCUGAAGAUGAGGCCGUUUAUCAUUGUUGUGCCUGGGAGAGCACUGGCAGUGAUAAGUUCCACGGUGGUACAAUCUAA